rnacentral:rRNA from 1 species
CCUACGGGAGGCAGCAGUGGGGAAUAUUGCACAAUGGGGGAAACCCUGAUGCAGCGACGCCGCGUGAGUGAAGAAGUAUUUCGGUAUGUAAAGCUCUAUCAGCAGGGAAGAAAAUGACGGUACCUGAUUAAGAAGCCCCGGCUAACUACGUGCCAGCAGCCGCGGUAAUACGUAGGGGGCAAGCGUUAUCCGGAUUUACUGGGUGUAAAGGGAGCGUAGACGGCAGCACAAGUCUGGAGUGAAAUGCCUGGGCUUAACCCCGGAACUGCUUUGGAAACUGUGCAGCUAGAGUGCAGGAGAGGUACGCGGAAUGCCUAGUGUAGCGGUGAAAUGCGUAGAUAUUAGGAGGAACACCAGUGGCGAAGGCGGCUUACUGGACUGUAACUGACGUUGAGGCUCGAAAGCGUGGGGAGCAAACAGGAUUAGAUACCCCGGUAGUC